rnacentral:rRNA from 1 species
GCUUACGGCCAUACCACCCUGAAUGCGCCCGAUCUUGUCUGAUCUCGGAAACUAAGCAGGUUCAGGCCUGGUUAGUACUUGGAUGGGAGACCGCCUGGGAAUACCAGGUGCUGUAUGCU